GCACCAGGUGGGUGUAGAGGGAGAGGGAGAAGCAGAUUCCCUGCUGAACAGGGUACCCUCCUCGAGACUAUGCGGGGGCUCUGAUCCCAGGACUGUGGAUCAUGACUAGAGCUGAAGUCAGAUGCUUAACCCACUGAGCCACCCAGGGGGAAGUCUUGUCACCUUGUCAACCUUGGAUCUUAUUGCCAGCCAAGAAAUAGUGCUUUUAAGAAUAAAUCUACUCAUUAUGACCAAAAGGAGAGAGGAUAACCACUGGAGUUCACCAUGCUGAAGCCCCUGCUAUCCGGACAGCAGAAGAAUUUCC
rnacentral:lncRNA from 1 species